rnacentral:lncRNA from 1 species
GUUUGCUUCCGACUAGUCCAGACGAAGGGCCGCGUCUCGGUAGCGCUCUGCCAGGGUGGAAGGUGCCGGGGCCGGGGUUCCUAGCAACACCUCUGGGCUGGGGGUGGCUGCAAAGUCAGGCACUCACAGACCCAGACACAAAACCUCGCGGGUCCCGCGCCCAGGCUGCGGGUGCCCGGAACCGCCGCGAGGCCGGCGCGCUCCGA